rnacentral:rRNA from 1 species
GAUGAACGCUAGCUACAGGCUUAACACAUGCAAGUCGAGGGGCAGCACAGUGUAGCAAUACAUGGGUGGCGACCGGCGCACGGGUGCGUAACGCGUAUCCAACCUUCCCGUUACUCAGGGAUAGCCUUCCGAAAGGGAGAUUAAUACCUGAUGGUGUUCAAAUUCCGCAUGUUAUUUGAACUAAAGAUUUAUCGGUAUCGGAUGGGGAUGCGUGACAUUAGAUAGUAGGCGGGGUAACGGCCCACCUAGUCUACGAUGUCUAGGGGUUCUGAGAGGAAGGUCCCCCACACUGGAACUGAGACACGGUCCAGACUCCUACGGGAGGCAGCAGUGAGGAAUAUUGGUCAAUGGUCGGAAGACUGAACCAGCCAAGUAGCGUGAAGGAUGAAGGUUCUAUGGAUUGUAAACUUCUUUUAUACGGGAAUAAAACCUCCCACGUGUGGGAGCUUGUAUGUACCGUAUGAAUAAGCAUCGGCUAACUCCGUGCCAGCAGCCGCCGUAAAAC